UAUAUACUCCCUCCGUCCGAAAAUACUUGUCAUCAAAAUGGAUAAAAAGAGAUGUAUCUGGAACUAAAAUACGUCUAGAUAUAUCCCCUUUUGUCGAUUUUGAUGACAAAUAUUUCCGGACGAAGGAAGUACUAU
rfam:Triticum aestivum genome assembly, contig: Triticum_aestivum_CS42_TGACv1_scaffold_050903_1BS